AGUGAACGCUGGCGGUAGGCUUAACACAUGCAAGUCGAACGCCCCGCAAGGGGAGUGGCAGACGGGUGAGUAACACGUGGGAACGUACCCUUUGGUUCGGAAUAACUUGGGGAAACUCAAGCUAAUACCGGAUAAGCCCUUAUGGGGAAAGGUUUACUGCCGAAGGAUCGGCCCGCGUCUGAUUAGCUAGUUGGUGAGGUAAUGGCUCACCAAGGCGACGAUCAGUAGCUGGUCUGAGAGGAUGAUCAGCCACACUGGGACUGAGACACGGCCCAGACUCCUACGGGAGGCAGCAGUGGGGAAUAUUGGACAAUGGGGGCAACCCUGAUCCAGCCAUGCCGCGUGAGUGAUGAAGGCCUUAGGGUUGUAAAGCUCUUUUACCCGGGACGAUAAUGACUGUACCGGGAGAAUAAGCCCCGGCUAACUUCGUGCCAGCCGCCGCCGUAA
rnacentral:rRNA from 1 species